AUGUGGGGCUGGGGUCGAUGUAGCUCUUUCCUUUGUUUCUCUCCAUUUUGGGUUUAUUUUUUGACAUCCAAGGAUAAAAUCAGAUCCAGGCUCCAGCACGAGCUCCGGGCAGCCGGGUGGCCUCUGCGUCACCAGCGCUCGCCCCGUGCCUCCCACCAGGAGCUGGGACCUUCUCGUUGUGUGUCCCCCACCCCGCGAUGUCCCCGUUCUGCAGGACGGGGAUGGGGAGCGCUGUGGACCCCCCCCCUGAGUCCCUGCCUUGAUUUUAUCCUUGGUGGUUCUUGUCGAACAGUGUCCAUUUGGGAGGAGAGCUGUCCUCGUGCCGUAGGUGUGCGAAGGGGGGUGAGCUUCCAGGGUGGGAACCGCCAAAGCCCCCGGAGAUGCCGGGAGCCGCUGAGCACCGCGGCUCCCCGUUCCCACCCCAGCGGGAGGGGGGAGGGCAGGGGUUUUGGGGGCAAAUCCAGAGGAAAAAAAAAAAAAAAAAAAAGAAAAAACAAACAAAAAAAAGCCCCAGUUUGCAAAUUGUCAGAUCGGAGUCGUCAAUUCAAACCAUCUAUUGAGAUGUUCAGUGCAGGAGGCUGCUGGGCACAGCCCGCGGCCGUCACCAACCACCUCCUCGCUGGGCCCCGGGAGCUUGCAGGAAGGUGGUUUAGAUCCCCAGAGCGGCUUUGGGAAGAGCCGACGCGGCUCCACGGAGGUGAGCUGGGGUCCCCCUGGCCCGUGCUACAAGCUGGAGACCACCAGCACCACGCCGCAAGUGGCCCAGAGGCGGCGCGAGGCGUGGGCUCCUCCUGGGCCAGGAGAUGGGCUCCAUCGGGUCUGCUCCUCGGAGCUUUCUGUGCCCCCCCUGUCCUCCCCGGCCCCUUCCCGGGGCAGGUGCUGAGCUGGAAAAGGUCUUGUUGGCUCCAAGGGCUGCGGCCAAAAGCAGCCAGAACGCCCGGGUUUUGUGUCUCGGGAGCUUGGGGGUCUCCAAAGAGAUUUGGUGGGCACUUGUCCAACCUCCAGCCUGUUUCACCCCAGGGGAAACCCCAUCUCUUCCAAGUCAGACGGAAACCAGAAGCUUUCUCCAACCUCCCCACUGCAUCCCCGGGGUCCCCGUGCUCCCCCCAACCCCACAUCCACGGGGCCGAGCCCCCUGUGGAGCCAGGCCCCUUCUCUCACCCUUGGGAUGAGGCUUUGCCGCCCCCAGCAUCGCAUGGUCUGGAUGCAAGGGGUUCACAGGAGCUGCCCUUUGGCUUCCAUUUCGGGGUGUCCGGGGGGGGUAGAGCCUUUUGGGAAGGAGCGAAAGCCCUCGGUGGGGUGGGCAGCCUCAUCUCAGAGCUGAAGGAAGAGCCUGGUUCCUCUGCAAGGUGCCCCUGGGGCUGGAAACGUGGCUCCCAUCCAGCCCCCGUGAGCUGGGCAGGAGGAGAAGGGUGGUGA
rnacentral:lncRNA from 1 species